GUGAAAUUGUUGAAAGGGAAACGAUUGAAGUCAGUCGUGCCGGUGAGAAAUCAACUUAAUGGGAUUUUGGUUCUUGGGUGAGGGGUGAGGUAGGGUCAAACCAUCUCAUUUUUUGAACUCGAGGCUUGUUGGGUGUACUUUCUUUUUGGCAGGUCAACGUCGAUUUUGGGGGUUGUAAAAUAACUGGGGGAAAGUAGCUCCUUUCGGGGAGUAUUAUAGACCCUGGGGGAUGCAGCCCGUGGGAUCGAGGAUUGCAGCAAAUGCUUCUGCUUUGUCGCCUGUCUGCUAAACGUCGCCCCGCUGGUGACAAUAUUUCUUGACACUUUGUGGGACUUGUCGGUUACCGGUUAGAGCGAUUUAAAAUUUGCUAAGGAUGUUGACGUAAUGGCUUUAAACGAC
rnacentral:rRNA from 1 species